rnacentral:lncRNA from 1 species
GAGGAACAGAGGAAACUGAAGACAUUUUACUUCCCUCUUAACACCUUUAAAUAGUUCUGAAUAAUGGACAGUAAUGUUGUUGAAUCUCUUUGUGAUUGAUUGGUUGUACCUCAGUACAUGAGCAACUUGUUCCAGUAAUGCUGUACCUGGGAGCAAGAGGCUAUGAUAAAGAAUCUUUAUCCAGGUUUGAUGUUUUUCUGCCAUGGGAUGGACUCCACAGUGGGGAGAAAGGGAAUAUGAUGCUUAAUGCUUUCUGCUGGCUGGAGGUUAACGAGGCUCCUUAUAGUUUUGCACCUGAGAAGUAUCUGGAUCUGGCAUUAUUCUACAUUAGUAUUUCAUGCACAUUCCUUACAAUUACUACAUCAAAGAGCAAGAUGACCUCUAUGCAAUAG